GCAGUAGCAAGAGAACCAACAGGAAAGCUUCCACUGGUGUAAUAACCUGCUCAGCAGAGGACUCACAGACUAUUGUGAUUGGUCUAGCAGCAGACUCUGGGUGUGGCAAGAGUACCUUCAUGAGGAGGCUAACUAGCGUGUUUGCUGGUGCAGCAGAGCCACCAAAAGGAGGCAAUCCUGAUUCAAACACACUCAUAAGUGACACAACUACUGUGAUAUGUUUAGAUGAUUAUCACUCACUGGAUAGGACAGGAAGAAAGGAAAAAGGGGUAACAGCACUUGACCCAAGAGCCAAUAAUUUUGAUCUCAUGUAUGAGCAAGUUAAAGCUCUUAAAGAUGGGAAAGCUGUUGAGAAACCUAUUUACAAUCAUGUCACUGGUCUCCUGGAUCCUCCUGAGCUCAUCAAGCCUCCUAAGAUUCUUGUUAUUGAAGGUCUUCACCCAAUGUU
rnacentral:misc_RNA from 1 species